rnacentral:rRNA from 1 species
UACGAAGGGGGCUAGCGUUGUUCGGAAUUACUGGGCGUAAAGCGCGCGCAGGCGGCCAUUCAGGUCAGGGGUGAAAGCCCAGAGCUCAACUCUGGAACUGCCCUUGAAACUGUAUGGCUUGAGUAUGAGAGAGGUGAGUGGAAUUCCCAGUGUAGAGGUGAAAUUCGUAGAUAUUGGGAAGAACACCGGUGGCGAAGGCGGCUCACUGGCUCAUUACUGACGCUCAGGCGCGACAGCGUGGGGAUCAAACAGG